UAUGACUACAUUUUAAUGCUUUAAAGCUUCAUUUACUGACUGUUUACUUACAUAAGGAAUAACUGCAUAAAUAAAAAGACAUGGCUGUUAUGGUCGAUGUGUUAAAAGAAAUGUCCAUAAGUUUCUAGAGGACACACACCUUCAUUUGUGGAGAUGUGUGAUUAAUGCUGUGAUAACAAUAACUGCUUCCUGUUAAAUAUUUAAACACAUUUGAUAUUCAUUGUUACAAAUACCAACAACUUUAAGCCUCUCUAUAAUGGUUUUAAUGCGGUAAGUGAAUAGAUGAGGAUCAGAGGGUUGGUGGGAAUGAACUCGUUCAGAAUUUAAAGAAAUGACAGGUUUGUCUUUUUAAUUCAGUGAUUAAAAAUCACAAACUAAUUGUGCAGCUAUUGCUUGAGAAAAUCAGGGUUUUGCUCUUUCCUCCAAUUCUAAAAGCUAUUGGAAAGAGGCAUUCAUGCUUGACCAGAGGUCGCCUCUGCGCUGGUGUUUACUUUCUCAGAUAUUAUGUGAACACUUACAACUGGUGCAAAUGGUGGUGGCAUUUGCAUUUUACCCCAAGCUUUCAGACACUAAACGUUAGCGGAAGGGAUCCACGCAGAGGCUUCGCAGGGCCAGCGGCGUGGAACGUUUUUGCUCCCAUUUCGCUCCUGGUUGGAAGAGAGCUCGCGGCAUCACUCCACUCGCUAUCUCCUCAAGACUGAUGAUUGUGCAGCAGCGUCUGACAAACAGAUGAGGGGAAACCAGGGAAGCACAUUCUUCUUUCCUUCUUGAUGAAUGGAAAACCUGCAAAUGAAACUGGAAUAGAGUGUAGUGGCUUAUCAAGUGUAACUUCUGUGUUUGCUUGGCAGGGGCAUGCGAGCUGUUUGAACAUCAGUCACGUUCUGAAUGUGGCUCUACAUCCAACGGCAAAGCAGCCCAUGCCCAUGUACAAUAUGUUAUCCCAGAGGAAGCAGAGAGAGGAUGUCAGAUACAAUAUGACAAGAGCACAGGCAGAUGUGUAUGAGAGCGUGGAGCUGGGCCAGAGAAGCAUAAAACCUGGACGUGUCUGAUGCAAGCAUCACAGAGAGGAUGGUGGUCCAGUCAGAUCAUCCUAUUAAACCUGAAUAGAAAAUAUUAGAUUUACAAUUAAUAAGAGAAUAGAUUUUAGAUUAAAACUAUCACAUAGCCUCUUCAAAGCAAACAGAUUGUGCACGAUUGCACAGAAUUUAAUCACUUCAGCCCUGAAUGAGACUGGA